rnacentral:rRNA from 1 species
UACAGAGGGGGCAAGCGUUGUUCGGAAUUACUGGGCGUAAAGGGCGCGUAGGCGGCCUUCUAAGUCGAACGUGAAAUCCCCGGGCUCAACCCGGGAACUGCGUCCGAUACUGGAAGGCUUGAAUCCGGGAGAGGGAUGUGGAAUUCCAGGUGUAGCGGUGAAAUGCGCAGAUAUCAGGAAGAACACCCGUGGCGAAGGCGGUUCUCUGGGACGGUACUGACGCUGAGACGCGAAAGCGUGGGGAGCGAACAGG